AACGAGAGAGAGGGAGCUUGCUUCCUCAAUCGAGUGGCGAACGGGUGAGUAACGCGUGAGGAACCUGCCUCAAAGAGGGGGACAACAGUUGGAAACGACUGCUAAUACCGCAUAAGCCCACAGGUCGGCAUCGACCAGAGGGAAAAGGAGCAAUCCGCUUUGAGAUGGCCUCGCGUCCGAUUAGCUAGUUGGUGAGGUAACGGCCCACCAAGGCAACGAUCGGUAGCCGGACUGAGAGGUUGAACGGCCACAUUGGGACUGAGACACGGCCCAGACUCCUACGGGAGGCAGCAGUGGGGAAUAUUGCACAAUGGGGGAAACCCUGAUGCAGCGACGCCGCGUGGAGGAAGAAGGUCCUCGGAUUGUAAACUCCUGUUGUUGAGGAAGAUAAUGACGGUACUCAACAGGGAAGUGACGGCUAACUACGUGCCAGCAGCCGCGGUAAAACGUAGGUCACAAGCGUUGUCCGGAAUUACUGGGUGUAAAGGGAGCGCAGGCGGGAAGACAAGUUGGAAGUGAAAUCUAUGGGCUCAACCCAUAAACUGCUUUCAAAACUGUUUUUCUUGAGUAGUGCA
rnacentral:rRNA from 1 species